GCCUCCGCCGCGAUCGCGGCCAGCCGGGGCCGACGCACCGAGCCGCCGCCCCUGUCACGCCGGGGCAGCGGCCGCCGAACGCUGCCCCGCGGCCCCCCCGCCUCCUCCCCCUGCGCCCGCGGAGCCGCGGGCGACGCGCAGGCAAAAAUCCCUUUCAUGACCAAGGAAGGAGGCAACAACAUUUUUACAGCCCUGAGAAGUGCCUGUUACUAGAAAUGAUUUUCACUUUGUUCCUGAAAAGCAUGCCAAGUUUACUGGUGUUUGCUGGUGAUGUUACAAAUAGAAGCAGGCCUGGCAGGAGGGAGCAUGAGCUUUCCAGUGGAACCUGUGACAGCAGGGACCUGCUCCAGCAUAUUCCUUCCUUCAACCCGUACCUCCACUUUCUCCAAGAAAUACAUAGAGCUCUUCAAGACCUCCUGGCAGAAAACUUUGGAAGACUUUCACCUCAUUAUUUUGCCAAGUGUCUCACCUUGACUCUUCAGAUUUCUUUGAUCCUCUGA
rnacentral:lncRNA from 1 species